rnacentral:tRNA from 1 species
GGAGAGAUGGCUGAGCGGUCGAUAGCGGCGGUCUUGAAAACCGUUAUCUCGUCAAAAACGGGAUCGGGGGUUCGAAUCCCCCUCUCUCCU